UAUUAUGGCAAAAUACGUAUUGAUUUUGGUGUAUUUGGAAGUCUUCAAAUACACGGAUAUGUGGCAUUUAACGUGUAUGAUAAAAACAAAUCCCUGGAUAUUAGGCACUAGUCAUGCGUUUAAUAUGGAAGGUGAAAUUAAAUAUUUUACAAUCUCUUCCAGCAAAUUAGAAUCUCAUUAAUCACACGUUUCUCCUUCUCUCUCUCCUUAUUCUUCUUAGUAAUGUAAAAUCAAUCUUCAAAAACAUUCAAAACACAGGGAACUUAAAAAACAGAGGUUUUGAUGACACAAAAACAAAUUUGGAGAAAAUCUUUUACAAAUCAAACUCACUGUACAAACAGUUGAAGUACCGCUUUUGGAGGUUACCAAGCAUAUUGAAUUCGGUUGCAGGAAAAUGUCGUCUAUAUCUUCGUUAAUUAGACACUGUGGUACUUGGAAUAAUGAGAACCGUUAUGUGAAUUUCAAAAUCGAUGCUGUUGUUUUCAAAGAGUAUUCAACAUAUAUGGAUUUGUUACAGACAA